CGUUGUUUGUUGUUUGUAAAUUUGUAAAUUGUGUUCAAGUUUGUUUAUCAGUGAUAUUAAAUUGUGUUAUUUUGUUAUAAAUAAUAAAUAAAUUGUUAAAUAUUUAUCUGUGGUGUGUGCUGCUAAAUAAGGUUUCAACGACGCAAUGCAGGUGGAUUUUUUCUGGACGCAUUUCUUCUUCGGUUUCAAACGAUGAUGUUGAACUUGGGCUCGAAAACUUCCAAUCGGAUUGAAGGUAGUCUGGUCCUCGCCACCAAAGACAGUUGUCUUUAAGUUCCAAUGGUGAAACUCCUCUGGACGCAAAAUCUGCUGGGUUCUGUUUUGUAGGAACAUGAUUCCAGAUGUUGACAUUUGUUAAUCUCUGUAUUUCGGCAACUCUGUUACUAACAAAUGUUUUCCAUUUUGAUGGCGGUGCAGCAAUCCAACAUAAAGUUAUCAUAGAAUCCGUCCACGCAAACGUUUUGACAUCAUUUAAUUUUAAGACCUUUUGAACAUAGUUUAAAAGUCGAGCUAACAUCACAGCACCACAUAAUUCAAGUCGAGGAAGCGAUAUAGUAUUGAGUGGUGCAACUCUAGUUUUCGACAUAACAAGUUUGUAUCCAACGUUGAAUUUUGAUAUCUUGAAGUACUGGUAGUUGUGUUUGUAGAGAUAACCAUUCUCGCUGCAGUUCUGGCGGAACAGGUGCAUCCCAUGCCAAACCCUUCACCCAUAACUUUUGCAUAAUGAUUUUUGCCAAAAUCACACAUGGUGAAAUCCAUCCAAGGGGAUCGAAAAGUUUGGCAAUAGUUGAAAGAACUUCUCGUUUGGUGACUUCUACUGAUUCGGAUUUGGUCCACUGAAAAGAAAAGGAGUCACUGUAAG